GCGCGGGUGGCGGAACUAGAAGACGCACUAGCUUGAGGGGCUAGCGGCCGAUAAGGUCGUGCAGGUGCAAGUCCUGUCCCGCGCACCA
rnacentral:tRNA from 1 species